CAGUCGCCACGGUAAUACGAAGGGGGCUAGCGUUGCUCGGAAUGACUGGGCGUAAAGGGCGCGUAGGCGGAUUGGAUAGUCAGGCGUGAAAUUCCUGGGCUCAACCUGGGGACUGCGCUUGAGACGUCUGGUCUAGAAUUUGGAAGAGGGUCGUGGAAUUCCCAGUGUAGAGGUGUAAUUCGUAGAUAUUGGGAAGAACACCGGUGGCGAAGGCGGCGACCUGGUCCUUGACUGACGCUGAGGCGCGAAAGCGUGGGGAGCAAACAGGAUUAGAUACCCCUGUAGUCCCUGUCUCUUAUAC
rnacentral:rRNA from 1 species